rnacentral:lncRNA from 1 species
AUAUUUAGUCAAUUAUAUUCAGUUGUGGAGCUUGAUUGCAAUAAUUUACAUAAUUUAAGUUAGAAAUUAUAAUAAAUUAAAGAUUAAUUGCAUACAUGAGGAGCAAAGUGUUCAUGUGUCUCAUAGCUUGAGAACCAAAAACAUAAUUUUGCCUUUUGUAUAUUAGUUAAUAAUUGGAAAAUUUGUGCCUAUACACCCCUUUCGAGGUGUAAAUCCUAUACGUUAUUCAUUUUAUCGAUGAGAUUUCUCCAACAGUUAUAUCGAGGCAACUAGCAAAGAAACUCCACAUAUGGGAUGGAUGUGGUAUAAAAUUUACACCCAGU